UGGAUCCAACUGGCUGCAAGUGCAUUUUCAAUGAAGUCAUCUCUUCUCCACUCUCUAUACUUUGAUGAACACCGACGUACCGGUGUUGACAGUCACCUUCUUCAGUGUAAGGAUCUGCGUUCGCUUGAAACAAUUUCCUGCCUUCCCAUUGUAGAAGAAUCCAUCGCAGUUGCAAUCAGCCGAGCAACUGGCUUUGCAGGCACCCAGUGAGAUCCUGAGCGGAGUCGCGUAGAACAGCAUCGCAGAUUCAUAGCCCGCCAAUUCCACGUAAUUCUUGUUGUUGCACUUUUUCACUUUUUUGUUCCGCUUGCAAACCGGUGGAGAGUUGUGGUCGGGUGAGUUCAAAGAGAAACCCGUCGGACAGCUGCAUGUACACAAGUGCAAGCAGCUUAGGUCAAUUAGAAAACUGCAUUGGAUCAUUCUUUGAUGCAUAACACUCUCCCGAUUCGACCUCCAAGACAACCAUGCAACUUGGAAAAUGAAGGGCGGAGAGCGAACCCAGUGCAUCCGGCAGUGGUCGUCCCAGUCUGAUCAGUAGUCGUAGAGCAAAUACCGUAGUUGCCACAGAAGUUGGGCAGAUCGCACUCAAAAAGCGCCUGCCAACCAUAGGUCCACGAAGCAUCCUUAUACAUGAGAUAGUAUUUGAGGUUGCCUUGGAAAUCGAGGCCAAAGUCAUAAUCCGCUCCAUAAUUUGGAACCCAGGGAGGGACUGCAGUCUUGUAGACGAGACUCCCUGCCGCUGUAUAGAGGCCGAUUCCAUCAUUGUUCCUAGCCACAGCUGCAGGGCACCCACCACGCAAUUAACCAUCAUGCAUACUUCUGCGCUUCCGAAUCAUAAGGCACACGCACACAAACAUGUAUACAAACACACACACACACACACACACACAAAUAUAUGUAUAUAUAUAUAUAUAUAUAUAUAUAUAAGAUUCGGCGCUAAGUCGCAAAUCUUGAGCAAAUGACGUACCUGCGUAUGCAACCUUGCUCAGAUCCUGGCUGACGGGGACUGACUUUUUAAGGCUCCAGUAAACCUCAGGGUUGGGUCCAUUCAGAAGCAGCUGAAGAUCUCCUCCCUUGAGGAUCAUGAUGUAGGUGCCCUUGUUUGCCAAUACUUCUUGAUACAAAUCCUGUUCUUGUUUGGGAUUUUUCAACCUUUCGCCCGUCCUGUUAAGGUAACCCACGAAAACCGUGAUUAGACGAAAGAUAGCGAGCCGGACUCAACCUCAACGUGAAUGUAAAUGCAUGUCGACUUUAGAAGUUAGAAGUUCAGCAUACCAGAAUUUCUGACCCUUAAGAACCAGCCAUUCCUUGACAUCAAAGCUGUUGAAUAUGGCUUUGUUGUAUCCCGUCACCAGCUUAAAGUUUCCGUUAUCGGGGUUGGUUUCCAACGCCAUCUUCGUCACCCCUUUGCCACCGGUUUCGCUGCUCCAGGUCAGAGAUGUCUUGCCCUUGUACAGAAUCCACAGCUGCAGGUCUCCAUUAUUGGUGAAUUUGACAGUGCAUUUGUCUGCGCCCACUGGAGUUCCUGCAUAAUAGUUGGCCGACCACAAGAGGUAACCCCGGUCUCCAGGCCUAUUGCUUGGAUCACCACGUCCCGUAUACUUUUCCCGCACACUCAAAGAGCAGACGCCUUUCAUGUCACCUUCCAGCCAGAACUGGAAUCUCCCAGUUUCCAGUACAGCCUUGCCUCGCGCGGGUGAAUCUACGGGUAGCGUGAGGUCGACGAUCGCACUGUAUCCCUUAGCCCGCGACGCUGGCGGAGCGCCAUGGACCAAACAUCCCGUCGCGAAAAUGCAAAUAGCGACGAUGAUCAGACUGUCGCCGAGGCGGAAGCCACGAGGAGUCGGCAUUGCUGUUGGCAUUGAUCAACCUGCACCAAAAACGCAAAUGGAAUGUGAACUCAAAAUCUGGACGAGCACAAACUUCUGAAGCAACGACAUGGUCGGAACUGUCGCCCUUACAGCAACAUCACCACAGCAAGAUCAGUUUGCCCACAACGAAACCAAUUACUGAACAAAAACAUCACUAAUCUCCCCCAACGUGGAGAUUAUUCGAUCCUAAGCGAUCUCGUCCAGACACCACUAAGGCCAGAUCUCUUGGACACAUAAUUUUCAACACAAAACUCAACCACCCACAACGUAUACACACAUCCGCUCACAACUAGAAACACAGUGUACAGAUAUCUACUGCAGAAUGCGACACCUUAAGCCAGAAAAGCACGCUUGUAACCAGCGGUCGACAAAACCCCCAGUAGAAGCUGUUCCCCUGGUGCUCCACUCCCCGAACAUGGAAAGGUGAAGCAUUUCGGGGGUUUUAUCUUCGACUUGGGCUUUGCUUUCUCAUCUCGAAGGUACCCCUGGAAUAGCUUUCUUCUUCUUCUUCUUCUUCUUCGUUGCGGUGAUCAGUAAUUGUUGCCCGCCGAUUUUGGAUUCGAGGACCUUAAAUGUCAACGAUUUGUUGAAUUCUUUGAAACUGUGAUGGUUCAUGUCCACCGCGGACUUGUCAAUGAAAUAAUUUUGUCUAUUUUGCUGCUGCUCGGGUUGGAUCUGAGACCCUCUAGUAAUGUCUUUUGCUUUCUUUCCUUGAAAUGUUGUGGAAUUGUCCCUUUUGCUAUAGUCUUGAACAUUAACGGGUUUUACUGUGUGUCUUGAAGUAAUGUUUUUAGAGUUUCGGAUUGAGACAUGGAAUGUAGAGUGGGAUGUUAACCCAUGUGAUGGGCUUUGUUCUUUUUUACUUUUAUGGUGUUCAAAUGCAUGUUUUGACAAUUUGGGACAAGGGGGUUUUUGUUUAAUUCUUUUGUUUAUCUUUAUUGUGUUGAUUAUUUGAUGUAGAUCUCAUAUGGUAUUUGGUUGUUGAAAGUUUAGAGAUGGCUAUUAUAUUUCAUUGAAAGUUUUUACCUCAUUCUACCAAAGUCUUCUAUAAAUUUCUAUCUAAUUCAAAUUUUAUUGUCUUUCUGUAACUUGUGUGGUAGAAUUGUAUCAGUUCACUUAAUCAAGCCACAUUGACCGUAUUUGCUUUGCAUUGGUAUAAGUACCUUUCACAACUCUAAUUGAGUUGAAUUUCUUUUUUAAUUUAUUUUUAAAAAUAUUCUAAAAAUGAUUCUUUGUUAUAUUAUAUAUAUAUAUAUAUAUAUAUAUACAUAUAUAUAUUAUUGAAGUAUUAGAAGAAGAAAAACAAUAUUUUUUUGUUUUUUUUUUCAUAUAUUAUAUUUUCUAAUUGACCAUCUUUUGUUAUUGUUGUUGUCAUCUAAAUCAAUGUUAAAGAUCUAGUUUUCCAGGCAUUGACCCAAUUUAUAUGUAAGUUGAUUCAUUAUUAUCAUGUAUUUACAGGUUUAUGGCUGCUAGUGUAAUUUUAUGGAUUAAAACUCUAUGAUAAACUAACAUAAUCAAGUCUUUAAUUAUAUUCAAUUACACAAUAGAUCUUCUAUCUAAUAUAAAUAAUAUUUCUUCAUUUUCUCAAGCUAUUUAAAUGUUAUACUUUUAACAAUAUAAUUAUACAUUCAGCUAACACAAAGUUUAAAUUUUUUUCUUCUUACUUCUAAGAGCAUUCACAUGAAUUGAAUAAGUAUUAAUAGUUUAUUUUCUAAUACUUCUAUUUAAAAAUUAUAGCUUUUAAAUCCUUCCAAAAACUUUAAUAAUUUAUAAUUUUACUUCAUAAAUAAUUUUUUUGAUUUUUAUUACUACAUUUGACUUAUAUUAUUUGGUUUCAUGUCAUGACUUUAAAAUAUACAUAUUCAUAUUACAAAUUGCUCCAAAUUUUAUCAUACAAUUUUGAUUGUAUUUACAACAAGUUUUUACAAGUUGUUUUUUUUUUUUUUUUUUUCUAUUAUUAUUUGAGCUAUCUUACAAUCCUUUCAUAUUGGACUUCUUACAUUAUCAUCCUUAUUUGAUAUUAUUUAUACUAAAUCUAUUUUUAUUUAUUUAUUUAUUAUUUUUUUCUAUGUUUUAAGAAAAUCUCUAAGAUUUAAUCAUAUAAAAAAAAUGUCUAUUCUAUUUUAACACCAUCUUUGUAUGCAUGAUAGAAUAGAUAUUUUUCUAAAUAAAAAUGAUUUUAAAAUAGUGAAUAUAUGUGACUUCAUAAAAUUUUACAUGAAGUGUCAAAUAUAAAAGUCAAUAUCAAGGAUUUUCUAUUUACUUGGCUAGCUUUUUUUUUUUUUUUAAAUAAUAAAAGUUAAUUUUUUAAAAUUUACAUUAAUUACAGUAUUUAUAAUAAAGAGAUGAUUAAAUCUAACUAUGAUUUUAAAAAAUGGAGCCAUUACUUUAAAGUACUUUUAGUAUAGCAAUAUUUUAUUCUAAUUUCAAGAACCUUAAAUACAAUAAGUCAAAAAAUGUUUUAAAUUGUUGUCAAUCUUGUUUAAACAUGUCUUUGUUAAAAAUUCUAUAAAAUUUAGUAAAACAAGUCAAUAAGAAUUCUUGUUCAUGAAGAAAAGAAAAGAAAAAAAAAAAAAGAAAAAAGAAAAAACUCAUUGAUGAUUUGAUUAAUAUUACUUUUUAAACAACAAUUAAUUUUAGAUGCAAUAUAAUUUUUAAUAAUUUCUACUGAUAUCAUGAAUCCUUAGUUCACAUAAUAUCUACUCAGAGAUCCAAUUUUGUAUCAAAAUUUUCAAAGAUAGUCUUUCAAACAUUAAAUAUAAAUGUUAAAUUAUUUUCAAGCCUUAAUUCUCUAAUUUAUAGAAACACAAACCAAAGUAUUAGAAAAAUAUUUACAAUCUACUAUGAAUUUGAACAACCCUCUUGAUAUCCUGUUAAUAAAGAUUACAUAUUAUAAUACAACACAUUCCUCUAUGCAACACAUAUAAAUCUUUUUCCAAUUAUAAUUCAAUUGUCAAAGAACGUCGGAAUGACACACUUGUCAGCUUUGUAUGAUGAAUCUUCAGCGUUAAAACACAUUGCGUUGGCAAUGUAGAGAUCGAUUCAUCCAAAUCCGGCAUUGACUUUCAUUUCCUUGUGAAGCUUUGGAAAAAAUAAUAUAAAAUUUGCAACCAAUUCUGCUGGAAUCAAUCUACCGCAUAUGACAUAUUUUUUUUUCUUUUCUCUGGCAUUUAAUGCGGGAAUCAAUACUUUUGUAGGAUAAGUAUAUGCUGCUGUUGCGCCGCGACUAUCCGCAGUGUUGCUGGGGAGCAACAGUAUAGGUAAUUUUUUCUUAUUUCUUACAACAACACGUAUUCUGGAAUGAAUCGUCAGCCUCCACGUGAACUGACUAAUUUGAUAUUAGUUGAGGCUGCUAUAGGAGGAGCAGUAGCCUCCAUGUACACAUUUAACCAUUGCGGCGUGACGCGCCGCAACGUCGCUGCGCAGUAGCAAAGAAGUUCAUUUGUUAUUGUAAAAUCUAGCAUGUUCAACAGUAAUUAAUAACCACCACUACUGAACUGUGGCACUAGCAUCAUCCUCAUUCAACGAGACUUGGAAUUUACUUGUGAGUUGUGUGGCUAUGACUGACAAUGUUUUUCAGUCGAUGUUCAUUGCUGCUGUAACUGGAGAAGGAACAUUUUUUCGCUCACACUUUCGCAUGAGAGGCUUUCUUUUGAAACAGUUGCUGAAACACUCUUCUUCCCAAAUUUCGAUAUUCUCAUAUUAGAAUAUUAAUUUGCCGAAAAAAAUAAAUAAAUAAAUGAAAUGACGUUGUAGUUGCCUAGUAUUGGUACCUUGUAGAAAGACAAUCCAAUAGGUAAAAGUUUGGUUGAUUUUUUUUGUGACAAAUUAAUGAAAGCUAUGAAAACCAACCUAUUAUUUUAGAUGAGGUAAUAAAUCAAUGCAUUGUUAAGCAAGUACAAACAAAAAGCUCAACAAAUAUGUCUUUAUAUUUUGCAAGGACUUGGUAUUAUUAAAAUAAUGGUUUAAUCAAGUGAAUUAUCUUCUUUUUAAGUUGAUUAAAAUUCUAAUUAAAUUCACAGUAAUGAUAAAAAAUAAAAUAAAUAAAAAUAUAAUUAAUUAGUACUACUUCUAAUAUCAAAUUAAAUAUUUAUUAUUAAUAAAAAUAUUUAAAAAUUAGAUUUAAUUUUUUUUAAUAUUUUUAAGCUUUAAUAAAAAUCUUAAGAUAAAAUUUGAAUAAUCAUAAAAAAUGAUUUAAAUCAAAUUAAUUGACUUAAUUUAAUCAAAUUGAAUGAAGUAAAAAAAAUCUACCUUCUAUAUAUAAGUGAUAUCAAAUUAUUUAAGAUUAUAUUUUAUAUUAUUAGAUUAUAGAUGGUAAUUUUUAGAAUUUAAAUAAAAUAUCAAAAUAAUAAAAAAUAAAAAUAUUAUAAAGGUUAUAAUAAGCAAAAGAAAGUGUUACAAAAAUAGAACUUCAUUCAAGUUGCAAAUAUGAAUGUAUCAAAACAAGGAGGUCGCAAUUCAUAGAACUUGUUAUAUAUUAGACAAGUCCUGACUUGUACUACAAAGAAUAUAAUUUCAUUCAACACUCCUUAUUUGGAAGUAGGACUUAGUUUUCAAUUAAAAUAAACCUAAAGUAACUCUAAAAGCUAUAAACUUAUCUCUAAAAAGAGAUUUUUUGAAGAUAUUUGCUGCUAUUUAUUUUGUGGGACAAUAUUUUAAUUUAUCUAAUUUGUCUUUUUUUUCACACAUUGCAAUUAGUACAUCAUUAACAUAGAUAAUCAAUGCAAGGACUAAUUUAUCAAUAUAUAUAUUUUAUAUAAAAAAAUAAUCUAAUUUUGAGUGCUUUCAACUAAGAUUUAAACUCUUGUUAUUAAAUCUUAUUCUAUCAGCAUCCAAAUUGCUUCAAAUUAUAUAAAGUCUUCAGCAAUUGCAAUACCUUGCUAAUGUGUUUGAAUGGAACUUUCAAUCCUUUUAGAAUCUUUAUAUAUAUUUUUUCUUUUUUUAAUUCACCAUUCAAAUAAGUUGAAAUAAUAUCAAGUUGUAAUAGAUUCUAAUUAAAGGUAGUAAUAAUUACAAUAAAUAUGUAAGUUAUUAUAAGAUAGGCAAUGGAUACAAAAAUCUUUUAAUAAUGAAGACCCUUUAUAUGAAUAAAAUCAUGUGCAACCAAUUAUAAUUUAAAAUGCUCAAUGGAAUUAUUGUCAGCAAGCUUUAUUUUUAAAACCUAUUUUGAAUUCACAAGCUUCUUGUCAUUUGAUAAAAAUAAAAACUCCAAUACACCAUAAUCUUUCAAAAAAUUAAAUUCUUCUUUUAUGGUAUGAUUCUACUCCUUGCAAAGAAGUGAAUUCAUAGCUUGCUCAAUAGUUUUUGAUUUUGCAUAUUCAUCAACAUGAACAACAUCUACUAUUUCAAUUAGUAGGUCAUAAUCUUAUGAAACAAAAUUAUUGUCAUUUUUUCAAAGUAAGUGAUACAUUCUAGUAUCACUUAUAAUAUUUCCUAGAUCAAUUUCACUUAUAUAAUAAUGUCUUGGUGGUGGAGCUUGAAUAAUUGCCUCCACUUUUUGUUGAUGGAAGUCGACUACUUUUGUUGGCAUAAAAUUUGCUUUCUUGUUAAUUAUUUUUCUAUCAAAUCUAUUAUAUAUGUGAUCUUAAGGCUUAAGGUUUAGAUAUUUUUAAUCCAAUUAGAUGUUGAAGAUCAAGCAAAUAUAGCUUAUUUUUAUAAUUCCUAUCCUCUUCAUCUUUUUCUUGAAGAAUCAAUGGUUCACCAAACAAUUCAUCUUUGUUAUCAUAAAAAAUCAUAUCUUGAUUAAAAAUCAUCUUCUUCUCUUUAAGUAGGAAAAUCUCAUGUCUUUUUAUUAUAUCUAAAUAUCUAACAAAAAUAUCCUUUUUUGCCUUUGUAUUAAGUUUUUUAUAUUUUUUCUUUGAUAUGUAAUACUAUGUAGAAUAAGAAAAACAAUAAGCAUAUUGAAUAGAAGGGUUUUUACCAUAAAAAACUUCAUAUAAUGUCUUAUUAUUAAAUAUAAUAAGUAAAAAGUAAUUAUAAGCCCAAGUCACAAACUUCGCAUCAAAUACCUAAUAUCAAUAAUCUGGCUUAGCAUUAUGUAAGAAUGUUCAUAUUCCUUCUAAAAUAGGACUGGUCUAUCUCAAGUAUCCAAGACCCUUGUAAUCCAUAAUAAUUUAAAACUUCAUCACGAGGUAAGACAAACUAGACAAAAAAAAAAAAAAAAAAAAAAACUAAACAUAACUAAAUAGAAUGGGAUACAAAAGACAAAACUAAGCAAUUGGAAUUAGAAUAGGACAAAAAAAAAAAAAAAAAAAAAAUACAAAAUACAAAAUACAAAAUCCAAUUAUAUCAAGAAAAAAAGAUCCAAAGCCAUAUUUGACCACAUGCUCUAAAAGGCCUUAGUUAAUCCUAUUUAUAUUUUGUUCUAUUACCGUGGACUUUCUAGAAUGUUCUUAGAUGAUAGAUCCUACUUAGAUAAUUGCCUUAAACUCCUUUUAGAAGGUUUUAUGGUAGAUCUUCUCUAGAUAACUGUCCUAAAUUCUUUUUAGAAUGUUCUAAGGUGGAUCCUAUCUUAUCUACUAACCUAAUCCUAAUUCUAAAAACUUCCAUAACUUCUCAAAUAUGGUUCUAAUUAUAUAUCCUUCUAUGUCAAUAAUACAAAUAUCUUAUUUAUACCUUGUUACACCUUCAAUGAUAGUCCAUAUCAUAUGCUUUGUUAUAUUGAUAAUCUUUUAUGUAUAUAUAGGAAUAAUUAUAAAUCAAAUAUCUUUAAUCUUGAAGUAAGAACUAAGCCUAUAAUUUAAGAAUUUAGUACCUUAAUUAAAGAAUUUUUUUUUUACCAUUUUUUUUAUUAUUUUUUGUACUUCUACUUCCAAAAUUUUAUAAGUAACAUAUAUUUAGUCCUUAGUUUGAAGAAACAUAAGACUAUAAUAACCAAAGUAUCCAUCAAUCUAUACAAUUAAGCCUUUGGUGCCACAAAAAUUAACUAUACCAAAAUAAAAAAGAUCAAAUACUAUUAUAUUUAAAAUACCAUUGACAUGCUUAUGUUUCUGUAAGAAAGGCUACCUAAAGACUUUAUGAACUAUGCACGUUUCAUAUGUAGAUAUCAUAUCCUUUUCAUCUUUAUUCUUUAAUCUUUCAACAUUAUUAAUUUAUUUUGUCUAAACAUAUUUUUAUAACUGCCUAAACUUUUUGAUCCAAGCCUCAAAAGCUCGAAUGUCCUCGGUAGAGAAACCCUAAUUUCUAAUAAGGCCUCAAGCAGCCUCCUUGAAGCCCAUUGGGCAUGGUCUUUGAUCAAUAAGAAUGAAGAUCUCUAUUCUUUACCUUCAUCCAACCAUGCCUUACUUUCAUCCCUUCCAAUAAACCUCCUACUAGUUUAGAUUUUCAUCUUUAGGGUCUAAUCUCCUCUCUAAGCUUCAUGCUAAAUAUUUAGGUCUUAUAAUUUUUUAAAUGCAGUAAUCAAAAUAGAUAAAACUCAAAAUAAAGUUUCUUAUAUCUAAUUUAUUUAAAUUAAUCUAUUAACCAUUCUAACAUACAUCAACACUUAUGAACAUAUUAUAUGUUCUAACUAAUUUUUACAUACUAUAAGCAAUUAUAGUAUGACAACAUUGUGUUACAUGCUUUAUUAUGUUGACAUGAUUCGUAAGAGUAUACAAAGGCUCAAAUAUGAUGAUUUAAACUUGUCCAAAAUCAUGUCUUUGAAAUCCGUUUUAGGAUCUUCUCUCGUCUUAGAUAUCCAGAUAUUGGGAUGUCAUGUCCAUCUUGAAGUAUGCGUGUUUGGAAUUUUGCAUUGUUAGGUACAUAAACUCCUUUCUUGAAAUAAUGCAAGCCAUCCCUAAGAGUGUAAUCUUGAUAUUGUAUAUUGUCCACCUUUAGCUGAUUAUUAACCAUCUUGAAAUAAGCAUCUCAUUGCAUAGAUUCUUUCCAUUCUACCUCUUUGAUUAGAUCUAAAAUGAUACUACUAAUGGUAGCAACUUCUACCUUAUCUUCUAAUUCUUUAAGUUUAGUCUCCUUGAUAAACUAUCUAGUUGUCACGGACAUACAUAUAAUUACCUAUAUGAAUAGAUAAAAGUAUGUAAAAGUAGGUUAAUUGUGUAAUAUCUUCUAGAGAAGCUUCUUAGAAGCUUCAUAGACGCUGCUUUGACUUUAUAGGAGUCUAUAGUUGACUUUUAGGUUAGAAACUUGGUCAACAAGUUAGCCAUGUGCCACGCAUGUUGGAAGCUUAAAGAACAAGCUAACUACGUGGUCCAUCCAUAGAAAACUUGCCUUGCAAGCAAAGGCAUGUGGCCUAGAAAGUCAACAUAUAUUGGAGGUCUUAUAGAACAUCGCCACGUGGCUUCUAGUUAGAUAGUAUAUAUAGAGGCAAGAGUGAAGCCCUCUUCACUCUUGUCAACUCCUUUCUUGCUUCUAGUCUAGUUUCAAGGGUCUCUAGUUUUCUUGUAUUUUGGCAAUAGCCAUUCCAGUUUCUUUCUUAAUAUACAUAUUUCUAUUUUGUCCUAUUUCUUUUUGAGAAAAGUCUCACUUACUCUUUAGCUUUCAUCGAGUUCUUGUCCUUGACAGAUUGACAAGAGUACACUUACAAUAUCAGAGCUUUGUCUUUUCUUGAUUAAGAGUGGAUUACCCCUUUUUCUUGAUAAGACAUAAGCGCAUUAGAAGUUGCGGAUUACCCUCUUUUAAACUGAUAUUGUUCUUAGUAUUUUCUUUGUUAUCAAUUCCUCUCUUCUAUUUGUUUUGAGCGUUAUUAGACAUCUUCUCUUUUCUAAGUGCUACUAUGGCAGAGCUUGUUGAAAUGAAGAGUGCAAUGGCACAGAUGCAAGAACAAUUGAGGGAGUUAAUUCUUGCGAUGCAUCAACUCAAUUUACCACCACAAGGAGCAACAAGAAUGGUAGGAAGUGAAGAUAUAGAGAUGAUUGGGGCUGCUUCAACAUCUGCACCAAACCAUGUCCCUUCUCCCAGAAUGGAACACCCUUCGAGUGUUAGAGAACCGAGAGUUGCCUUGCCCGAGAAGUUUGAUGGUACCAGAUCCAAGUUUCGAGGAUUCAUCAAUCAGGUCCAACUAGUGAUUGAACUUCAACCCCAGAGCUAUCCAACUCCAGGGUCACAAGUAAGAUUCAUUGGUACACUUCUUUCAGGUUCAGCAUUGUCAUGGUUUUCAUCUUUUCUUGAACGACGAGAUCCAAUAUUGGAUAAUCUGGAGGCUUUUUUGGCGGAGUUUCGAUCCAUGUUUGGAGAACAUGAUGCAAUUCGUGUUGCAACCAACAAGAUCCGUAUUUUGCGACAAGGCAAUCGAUCAGUAACAUUAUAUGCUUCGCAAUUUCGACAACUUGCAACUGAUAUCAAGUGGGAUGAUGCCGCACUUGUGAGUCAAUUUCUCUACGGAUUACAAUAUGAGGUAAAGAAAUUGAUGCUUAAUUUACCUGAUCCUCAAACAUUGAGUCAAGCAAUUGACUUUGCUGUGAAGUGUGACAAUCAACUUUUUGAAUUUCGAUCCGAGAGUCGCACAAGUGGGCCUCAACGUUACUACAAUUCAAUGGCAACACCGACGUCUCCUCAACACAUACCUUCAAAAGUAGAGGAUAUGCAAAUUGAUGCGGUACGUUUCAAACCUCUUACUGAGCAAGAAAAGUCUCAUCGUCGACAAGAAGGAUUGUGCUUAUAUUGUGGAGAACCUAAGCACACUGCUCAACAUUGUCCAAAGAAGCGACGUAACUACAAAAUGAGGAGUACGGCUGUCAAAGAAGACAGUAUGUCAGAAAACGAGUACGUCCAGCUACAAUAGGGACCGUGCGGCUGGAAUCUUGUACAACUUCUAAUAAAGGUCCUAUCCUCUCCUCAGAACCAUCUCCUUGUUUUAUAAUAGAUGUGCGUUUAGGACCUAAUAAUUACAAAGCCUCUGCCUUAGUAGAUUCAGGAGCCUCAUCUUGUUUUUUAGAUGAAGAAUUUGCUAGAUGUCAUAGAAUAUCAUUAAUACAAAAAACUAAACCUGUACACGUAGAAGUCAUAGAUGGUCGUCCGUUGUCUUCUGGAGAUGUAACUCACGAAACACUUCCUGUAGAUGUAGUAAUAAAUGGUCAUAGUAGUUGCGUAAUUUUUAAUAUAAUUAGAUCUCCCUCUAAUCCAGUAAUUUUAGGCUUAUCAUGGUUAGAAAAGUAUAAUCCUCGAAUAGAUUGGAUUUCUCGUAAACCUGAUUUUCCUCAGAGCAUUAGUAACAGUUCUAUUAACCAAGUAAAAAACCAUGACUCUAGUAUAGUAAAACUCGCACCUAUAGGUGCAAAAGCAUUUAUACACGCAGCAAAAGAAAGAUCAACUUUUGCUAUUUAUGCUGCACCUAUUUCUGAAAGCGUAAAGACUUCAAGUGGCAUUCCAAGUCAAUAUCAGGAUUAUCAAGACGUUUUUGAGAAAAAGAAUGCAGAUAUUCUUCCUGAGCAUCGCCCAUACGAUUGUUCAAUCGAUCUCAAGGAAGGAACUCAGCCACCAUUUGGACCAAUUUACAGUUUAUCGCAAGAUGAGUUGGCUGAACUCAAGACAUAUAUUGACGAGAAUUUAGCGAAGAAUUUCAUACGCCAUUCAAAAUCUCCAGCAGGAGCUCCAAUUUUAUUCGUAAAGAAAAAAGAUGGAUCUUUACGAAUGUGUGUUGACUAUCGAGGACUCAACAAGAUCACAAUCAAGAACAGGUAUCCAUUACCUUUGAUAUCAGGACUCCUUGACCAGUUAAAUCAAGCUAAGAUCUAUACAAAAAUAGAUCUAAGAGGAGCAUAUAAUCUAGUACGGAUCAAAGAAAGAGAUGAAUGGAAGACUGCAUUUCGAACCAGGUACGGGCAUUUUGAAUAUAAUGUCAUGCCUUUUGGACUCACGAAUGCACCAGCUGCUUUUCAACAUCUCAUGAAUGAUGUAUUUCGUGAAUUCUUAGACAAUUUUGUCGUCUGCUACCUAGACGAUAUCCUGAUUUAUUCUAAGAAUGUUGAAGAACAUGAAAUACAUGUUCGUCAAGUAUUACAAAAACUCAGAGAUGCAGGAUUGUACGCCAAGAUGGAAAAGUGUGUAUUUCACACUACUCAAGUUGACUUUUUAGGAUACAUCAUUUCAAAUGAUGGUCUUAUGAUGGAUUCUAAGAAAGUCCAAACAAUCAUGGAUUGGAAGAUUCCAAAGACUGUAAGAGAUGUCCAAUGUUUCUUGGGAUUUGCCAAUUACUAUCGGAUCUUCAUCAAAGACUUCUCACGAGUUGCAGCUCCACUUACACGCUUGACUAGUAAAGAUAAAUUCCAAUGGAAUCAAGAAGCGGAAGCAGCAUUUGAAGCCUUGAAGACAUCGUUUGUCUCUGCACCAGUCUUAUAUCGUGUUGACUUUUCCAAGGCAUUUUUUAUGGAAACAAACGCAUCGGAUUUUGCCUUGGGUGCAGUUUUAUCACAAAUGGGAACAGAUGACAAACUUCAUCCGAUAGCUUUUCAUUCAAGAAAAUUCUCAGGAGCCGAGAUCAAUUAUGAGAUCCACGAUAAAGAACUUCUUGCAAUCGUGGAUUCUUUUCAAGAAUGGCGUCAUUAUCUAGAAGGUGCUUCUAGUCCAGUCAUUGUGUAUACAGAUCACAAGAACCUCGAGUAUUUCAUGUCAGCACGCGUGUUGAAUCGUCGUCAAGCUCGUUGGAGUAUGUCUUUGUCAAGAUUCGACUUCAUUAUCACUUAUCGACCAGGAAAAAAACAAGGUUUGUCCGAUGCCCUGUCUAGACGUUCUUAUUUUGCACCAAAAGAAGGAGAUGCAGCUUUUGAGCAACAAAGAAUGGUCCUCUUGAAACCGGAGCAAUUUCAUCUCCGAGCAGUGAAAUCAACAUUGACUGUUGAUUCAACUUUUCUCAAGCAAAUCCAGUCCAGUAUGUCCUCAGACCCUCUUGUUCAUGAUAUCGAGAAUAAUUCUUCCAAGUCUCAUGAUUCUUCUAAGUUCGAGUUCAAGAAUAAUCUAUUAUAUUUUGAAGGACGCCUAUAUGUUCCAAAAGGAAAAGCACGUUUGCGUGUUCUUCAAGCACGUCAUGACUUUCCAGCAGCAGGGCACUUUGGAUAUAAUAAGACUUUGGAACUCAUAUCAAGAGAUUUUUGGUGGCCACAAAUGUGGAAGUCAGUCAAAGACUUUGUACAAUCAUGUGAUAUUUGUUCAAGAUCAAAAAUUCCUCGACAUCGACCUUACGGACUUCUUCAGCCAUUAUCUAUACCAGAACAACCAUGGUCUUCUGUUUCUAUGGAUUUCAUCACAGAUCUUCCAAGCUCAAGAUCUUAUGAUUCUAUAUUUGUGAUAGUAGAUCGUUUCACCAAGAUGGCACAUUUUAUGCCAUGUACAAAAUCUAUCACAGGUGAAGAAACAGCUAAGCUUUUCAUUGAUAAUAUCUAUCGCUAUCAUGGAUUGCCUAAAGAUAUCAUAUCGGAUAGGGGAACUCAAUUUGUGUCGAGAUUCUGGAGGACUCUUUUCAAGAUUUUAAAAGUGGACAUAAAGCUAUCUUCAGCUUUCCAUCCUCAAACUGAUGGACAAACAGAGCGCGUAAACCAAGUCUUGGAACAGUAUUUAAGGUGUACCAUCAACUACCAACAAGAUGAUUGGACAAACCUUCUACCAUUGGCAGAGUUUGCUUAUAAUAAUACGGUACAUUCCUCCACGCAACAAACACCUUUCUUUGCCAAUUAUGGCUAUCAUCCACGACUUGAUACUUUUGAUUUUUCAAAAGUUGAUAAUCCUGCAGCAGAAGAUAUGGCAAAUCGGUUGUCAGAGUUACAUGCAAUAAUGAAGGCGCAGUUGAAGAAAGCUCAAGAACGACAAAAGAUAAAUGCAGAUGUAUAUCGUAAAGAGCAACCACAACUCAACGUGGGUGAUAAGGUAUGGCUACUUCGUCGCAAUAUCAAGACCACUCGACCUUGUGACAAAUUGGACUAUCGUAGGCUUGGCCCCUUUUCUGUUUCUGAACAGAUCAACCCAGUUGCAUAUCGGUUACAUCUACCGGAGUCAAUGAAGAUCCAUCCUGUAUUCCACGUGUCUCUUCUUGAACCAUAUAAGACAGUGGAUAUACAAGGAAGAAGACAAAUACCACCGCCUCCUAUAGAAGUAGAUAAUAAUGAAGAAUUUGAGGUGGAAGAGAUAUUAGACUCAAGGUGGCGCCGAAAUAAGCUGGAAUAUCUUGUUCAUUGAUGCGGAUAUGAUAUUAGUGAGUGCACAUGGGAGCCAUCCAGGAAUCUAGCAAAUGCAUCAGCUAAAGUCAAAGUUUUUCAUCAACGACAUCCAUCAAAACCAAGAUGAAAACCUCUCUUAUAAAAGAGACAAGAUUGAGGCAAGAUAACAUUCAAUUUCCUAUCCUUGUUUGUAACUUCUUUGCAUUUUGUGACGCUAAUUAGAUGGAGAGUCAACAACCAGCGGAUUCAACUCAAGAACCUUCGUUUGUUGACUUACCGGAUGAGACAUUGCGAUUGUCACAACCUUCAAGACGACGCAACCGAGAUGAAGACCCUCAAGAACGACAUGUUCUUCCUCGAAUAGAUGGUGAGAUACAACGCGUUUGGUAUCACGACCUUGGAAGAGAUUCUCGAUGUUUGGUGAUAUUAUUGGAGAUAGGAACGACUCCUGAUGGUGUUUCAAAUGUAUUAUUUGAAGGAAGUUAUGAAGGCCUCAACAGUGAUCAAAUAACAGGGUGGUCUUCUCGCACUGGAAUGGGACACUAUCGAUGGCUAAGAGGACCCAUCAACUAUCUUCGAAGAGAACAAAGAUCAGAGUAUGUAGCAAAUACAAUUCGCCGCAUAUUAGAUUUUCUCAAUAUAUAAUCACCGCUCCUCGUGGAACUCGUCCCUAGAAGGGGGGGUAAUGUCACGGACAUACAUAUAAUUACCUAUAUGAAUAGAUAAAAGUAUGUAAAAGUAGGUUAAUUGUGUAAUAUCUUCUAGAAAAGCUUCUUAGAAGCUUCAUAGACGCUGCUUUGACUUUAUAGGAGUCUAUAGUUGACUUUUAGGUUAGAAACUUGGUCAACAAGUUAGCCAUGUGCCACGCAUGUUGGAAGCUUAAAGAACAAGCUAACUACGUGGUCCAUCCAUAGAAAACUUGCCUUGCAAGCAAAGGCAUGUGGCCUAGAAAGUCAACAUAUAUUGGAGGUCUUAUAGAACAUCGCCACGUGGCUUCUAGUUAGAUAGUAUAUAUAGAGGCAAGAGUGAAGCCUUCUUCACUCUUGUCAACUCCUUUCUUGCUUCUAGUCUAGUUUCAAGGGUCUCUAGUUUUCUUGUAUUUUGGCAAUAGCCAUUCCAGUUUCUUUCUUAAUAUACAUAUUUCUAUUUUGUCCUAUUUCUUUUUGAGAAAAGUCUCACUUACUCUUUAGCUUUCAUCGAGUUCUUGUCCUUGACACUAGUAUAGUAUGUUGUCGACUUUGUUUGUACUCAAGUUGAACAUCAAAAAAUUACAACUGUUCUUCCUAAUGAUGAUGUCUCAAUUUCAUAUUUUUUAAAUACAAAUCAUGUAAUAAGGGUCGUUGGUCAGUUUGAACAACCACCAGCUUCUUGAAUAGAUAGUGUUGCUACACCUUUGUAGUGUAUACAAUUGCUAAUUGUUCUUGAUUACAUGCACAGUAAUUGAGCUUUGUCUUUUUGACCUUAUAUUAUUCAUACGCCACAAGUUUAAGGCCCCUACCAAAGUCUUGUUGAAGGAGUGCUCCAAUAGCAAAGUCAAAAGCAUCAAUGUUAAGCAUACAAAGAAAGUUAGGAUCAUACGAUUGCAAUAUUGGAGUAAUAAUGAGUGCUUCCUUCAACUUCUCAAAGGCAUUUUGCAACUCUAGUUUCCAUUCAAAUGGAGAACCCUUCUUCAAGAGGCUUGUUAAUGAGGCAGUAAUGUGAGUAAAUUGCCAAACAAAAUGGUAAUAGUAUCCAGCAAGGCCUAAAAAUGAGAGAACUUUAGAAGCAUCCUUAGAAGUUGGCUACUCUUCUAUUGCUUUUAUCUUAUCUUGCUCCAUAUGCAUGCAUUUGGAGAACACCACAUGCCCUAUAAAAGUGACUUUGUCUUCGAAUGUUCACAUUUUGAUUGCUUGCAAAAGAAACAACUUUCUUAUAGUGGACAUAGCACUUCUUGUAGUUGUUGCUCAUGGUCUUCAAGGAUUUUACUAUAUAUGAAGAUAUCAUGAAUAAAAACAACUACAUACUUGUUCAAAAGGUUUUGAAAUAAUUUAUUCAUAGGAUCCGUGAAAGAGGAUGGAGCAUUGAUGAGGCCAAAGGAUAAAAUCAGCCAUUCAAAAUAUUCAUAGCGUGUACAAAAUAUUAUCUUUUUCACAUCCUCUCUUGCAAUAGGUAUUUGCCAAUAACAAGUCCAAAGAUCUAAUUUACUAAAGAUGGUUGUAUCUUGAAGUUGGUCAAGAAGAUCAUCGACACGUUGUCAUGAUGUAAUAUGAUUAAUAGGUGAAAGAGUAUGGAGAUUAUUAUAAUUUAAGAGAUCUUAGUUCAAAUUAUUAGAAAAAAUUAUCUUAGAAAUAUAAUUAAUAGUCAAAGGGGUAGAAAAAUUAAAAAGUACCAAUGUUGUCUUUUAAAAAGGUAACUUCUACUUACUUUGUAGUACCAUAAGUAAGGCAAAUCAAAGUAGAUUGGAAAAAUAAAUAAUAUAGGCAUCUUUAAAAAGAAGUUAAGAGUAAGUUCUAGGAAAAAGUUACUUAGAAAAACUAGGUAUUGAUAUCCGGAGACGGCCGGUUAUGAACCAGGGUCGAAAUCAGACCCUAGGGCACAAAACUAAGUCUCGACAAUGACUCCGGGGAUCUUUUGGAGAUCGGAGAGUGAGAUUUGAUAACAGACUAAAUAGGCUUUCUAUGAGCAUUGAUUUUGGAUGAUUUGGAGUUGAUAUGACUUUGUAAGAGCUUUGCAAAAUCAAGGUUUGUUUCAGAUGACUUGGGUUUUAUGAAAUAAAAUAGGAUUUACGUUUUGGAUGAUAUCAAGAGUUUUGUAAUAGAUCUACAAGUGAAAUUUUUUGAUUUUAUGGUUAUAGUUGUGUUUAAUAUGUGUCAUGAAUUUGAGCUUGAUCUAAUGGUUGAAUUGAGGGAUAUUGAGGGUUAAGUAGGUCAAGGUCUCAGAAAGUAGAAUUUUAGGUCCAGUAGGGAUUUUUAAGAUUUCUUGCAAUCUAUUAGUUGGAUUGAAGUGAAACUUACAUGAAAGGAUAUUAGACUUGUUUUUCUAUGUGUAUGAGAAUUUUGAGAUCAAUCGAACGGUGCAAAAGAGAGAUAUUGGCUCUAGAAGAUUGGCAUCAAGAUUGGAGAAGGAGGCCGGCCAAUACCCGAGCACAUUUUUGAGGAUAUUGUCAAUUUGAUAAAUCCAAUCCUUAUCAAUUUUUUUGUACUUGUUUUUAACUUAUUUUUUUAGAAGUGUGCAAAAUUUGAGUUAAGAUUAACAAUUUAUUCAUUAGUUAUUGAGGUUUAAAUCUGUUAUAUGAAUUAUUAGGGUUUGGUUUAGGAUUUGGUUAGGAUUUGGAUUAGGGUUUGGUUAGGAUUUGAUUAGGAAUUUAGAAUUUGGAUUAGGAUUUGAUUUAAGGUUUAGGAUUUAAUUAGAAUUUGGUUUAGGAUUUAGGAUUUGAAUUAGGAUUUGGUUUAGAGUUUAGGAUUUGGAUAGGGUUUGAUUUAGGAUUUAGGAUUUGGUUAGGAUUUGGUUUAGGAUUUUGAAUUUAGAUUAGGGUUUGAUUUAGGGUUUAGGAUUUGAUUAGGAUUUGAUUAAGGGUUUAAAAUUUGAUUAGGAUUUGAUUUAGGAUUUAGGGUUUAGAUUAGGAUUUAGUUUAGGGUUUAAGAUUUGGAUUAGGGUUUGAUUAGGAUUUGAUUUAGGGUUUAGGAUUUGGUUUAGAGUUUGGUUAGGAUUUGGUUUAGGAUUUGGUUGGGGUUUGAUUUAGGGUUUAGGAUUUGGUUUAGAGUUUGGUUAGGAUUUGGUUUAGGAUUUGGUUAGGGUUUGAUUUAGGGUUUAGGAUUUUAUUAGGAUUUAAGAUUCAAUUAGUUUUGGCCUAAAGUUUGAAUGAAGUUUAAUAGGAUUUUAACUAGAAUUAAAUUAAGAUUGAAUUGAGAUGUAUUUGAAUGAUAUUUGUGUUCUUUUUAAUGUUUCUUUAAAAAUUUCUAUUAUUUGUUUAAAAUUUCUUUGAGGUUUUUUGAAUUUAAUUAAGCUUGCUUAGCAUUAUUAUAGUCUAAUUAGAGCAUUUUUAGUAUUCUAUUAGAAUUAGGAUUUUAUUAUUGUAAUUUCCAUUCUUCCUUCCACAGCCAAGUGCCCGGAGCAUUCUCAAGCAAGACUUCACGUAUUACGACAACAUGGAAGUGGAUAUGUAUUUUUAAUAGUCUGCUUAUUAAGACCUGAAUAGUCAAUGAAAAGGCAAAGUCCACUAUCUUUUUUUGGUGCAAAGAAUACAAAUGCUCCCCAUGGUGAUGUACUUUCUUGAAUGAGGCCUUUCUCCAAGAGUUCGUCCAAUGUCUUCUAUAGAUCUUCAAGUUCUUUUUGUGCUAGACAAUAAAUUGAUUAACUUGUUGGUUGGGCUUCAAGCAAUAGUUCUAUUUGAAAGAAGGUACUUCAAUCAAAAGGUGCACCACUAGAUAGAUCAAUUGAAAAGACAUCUUGAUAUUUUCAUAUAAGUUGCUCUGCCCAUUUUAUUCCUUCGAUUGUUUUACUCACCAUUGAUGCAAGAUUUGGAACUACUAUAUAUACUACUUGCUCAUAUUGUAGUUAUUUUUUCAUAAAGGUCAUCCUUACAAGUAAGUCUUUGGUUGCACAUUGUCUUUUUUCUUCACCUCAUGUGGAAAUGCAAAGAAUUACCUUGCAUUCUCCAUCUUUAAAAGAGACUGUCAUUGCUAUCCAAUCAACUUGCUUAUUUUUCAUCUCUAGCCAUGACAAAUCAAGGAUAACAUCAUAUCUUAACUUUUUUAUCUUAAAUUUCUCUCUUAAGAUAUAAGUGUCUCUCAAUCUAAAGGUUUCUUCUUUAGAUAUCUUCUUCAAUAUAUUUUAUCAAUCAUCUAUAAGGUAUAUACUUCCUCCCUUAAUUUCUUUAGUUUUAAUUCUAAGUCAAUUGGAAAUUUCAAUUGAAAUAUAAUUUUUUGUAAAAUUACAAUCUAUAAGUACUUGACAUCAUUGUCUUCUUAGUAAUCUUAUUAGAUACACUAGUUGAUUCUUUUUAUUGUUGUCUGAGGCUAUGCCAUUUGUCUCUAAGAGACAAUGGCUGUCACGGCCAUAAUCAUGUAAGCUAAUAAUUACAUAUAGAAAUAGGUAGAAGUAAGUAAAAGUAGAUGAAAGUAAAUUAAUUCUAUAAUAUUUAAUAUAGAAGCUUCCUAAAAACUUCCUAGACGCUGCUUUGACUUCAUAGGUGUCUUUAAUUGACUUUUUGGAUUAGAAACGUAGUCAACAAGUUGGCCAUGUGCCACACAUGUUGUUAGCUUGAAGAUCAAGCUAACUAUGUGGCCCACACGUAGAAAAACUUGCCUUGUAAAUCAAGGCAUGUGUCCUACAAAGUCAACACAUAUUGGAGGUCCUAUAGAACGUCGCCACGUAGUCCCUAGUUAGAUAGUAUAUAUAGAGACAAGAGUGAAGGCUUCUUCACUCUUGUCAACUCCUUUCUUGCUUCUAGUCCAGGUUCAAGAGUCUUUAGUUUCUUGUCUUGUGGCAAUAGCCAUUCCAGUUUCCUUUUAAUAUACCUACUUGUUUAUAUUUUGACUUAUUAUAUCGAGAUAGCCUUUUUGUGUAUAUUUUCCCUCAUCGAGUCUUUGUCCUUGACAGAUUGACAAGAGUACACUUACAAUAUCAGAGCUUUGUUUUUUCUUGAGUAAGAGUGGAUUACCCCUUUCUCUUGACAAGACAUAAGCGUAUUAGAAGUUUGCGGAUUACCCACUUCUAAACUGAUAUUGUUCUUAGUAUCUUCUUUGUUAUUAAGUCUUUCUUUUCUUUUGUCUUGAGUAAUAUCAAAAAAAAUUUUCUUCUUAGUGUCAUUAUGGCAGAGCUUGUUGAAAUGAAGAGUGCAAUGGCACAAAUGCAAGAACAAAUGAGGGAGUUAAUGCUUGCGAUGCAUCAACUCAAUUCACCAACACAUGAAAGAACAAGAAUAGCAGAAAGUGGGGAUAUAGAGAUGAUCGGAGCUGCUUCAACAUCUACAACAAAUCACGUUCCUUCUCCAAUUGUACAACACUCUAUAAGCACUAGAGAACCAAGAAUUGCCUUACCUGAGAAAUUUGAUGGUACGAGAUCAAAGUUUCGAGGGUUCAUCAAUCAAGUACAAUUGGCAAUUGAACUUCAACCGCAAAGCUAUCCAACUCCAGGAUCACAAGUCAGGUUUAUUGGCACUCUACUUUCUGGUUCUGCAUUAUCGUGGUUUUCGUCUUUUCUUGAACAACGAAAUCCAAUAUUGGACAAUUUGGAAGCUUUUUUGGUGGAGUUUCGAUCUAUGUAUGGUGAACACGAUGUAACUCGUGUUGUAACAAAUAAGAUCCGAAUUCUGCGACAAGAAAAUCGCUCAGUAACAGUGUAUGCUUCACAAUUUCGAUAAUUUGCAAUUGACAUCAAGUGAGAUGAUGCUGCACUCAUCAGUCAAUUUCUUUAUGGAUUGCAAUACGAAGUAAAGAAAUUGAUGCUCAACUUACCUGAUCCUCAAACUUUGAGUCAAGCAAUCGAUUUUGCGGUAAAAUGUGAUAAUCGACUUUUCAAAUUUCGAUCCGAGAAUCAUUCACGGGAACCUCAACGUUAUUACUCAAUGGCAACAUCAACAUCUUUGCCAAACGUACAUUCGAAAGUAGAAGACAUGUAAAUUGACGCGAUACGUUUUAAACCCCUAACUGAGCAAGAGAAGAUUCGUCGUCGUCAAAAAAGAUUAUGUUUAUAUUGCGGAGAACCUAAGCACACUGCUCAACAUUGUCCAAAGAAACGACGCAACUAUAAAAUGAGGGGUACGACGGUCAAAGAAGACAACAUGUCAGAAAACGGAUUCGUCCAGCUACAAUAGGGACCGUGCAGCUGGAACCUUGUACAAUUCCUAAUGAAGGUCCUAUCCUCUCCUCAGAACCCUCUCCUUGUUUUAUAAUAGACUUAUAUUUAGGACCUAAGAAUUACAAAGCCUCUGCUUUAUUAGAUUCGGGAGCCUCAGCAUGUUUUUUAGAUGAACAAUUUGUUAAAAGUCGUAAAAUAUCCUUUAUACAGAAACCUAAACCAGUACAUGUAGAAGUCAUAGAUGGUCGUCCCUUGUCUUCUGGAGAUGUCACUCAUGAAACUCAUCCUAUAAAAGUAACAAUAGACGGUCAUGAUAGCUACAUAGCUUUUAACAUAAUUAAAUCCCCGUCCAAUCCAGUUAUUUUAGGUUUAUCUUGGCUAGAAAAAUAUAACCCUCGAAUAGAUUGGAAUUCGCGUAAACUUGACUUUUUCCAAAGCAUUAUUAAUAGUUCUACCAACCAAGUAAAAAAUUAUAAGUCUAGUAUAGUAAAACCCGUACUGAUAGGUGCAAAAGCAUUUAUACACGCAGCAAAAGAAGGAUCAACUUUUGCUAUUUAUGCUGCACCUAUUUCUGAAAACGUAAAGACUUCAAGUGGCAUUCCAAGUCAAUAUCAGGAGUAUCAAGACGUUUUUGAGAAAAAGAAUGCAGAUAUUCUUCCUGAGCAUCACCCAUAUGAUUGUUCAAUCGACCUCAAGGAAGGAACUCAGCCACCAUUUGGACCAAUUUACAGUUUAUCGCAAGAUGAGAUGGCUGAACUCAAGACAUAUAUUGACGAGAAUUUAGCGAAGAAUUUCAUACGCCAUUCAAAAUCUCCAGCAGGAGCUCCAAUUCUAUUCGUAAAGAAAAAAGAUGGAUCUUUACGAAUGUGUGUUGAUUAUCGAGGACUCAACAAGAUCACAAUCAAGAACAGGUAUCCAUUACCUUUGAUAUCAGGACUCCUUGACCAGUUGAAUCAAGCUAAGAUCUAUACAAAAAUAGAUCUAAGAGGAGCAUAUAAUCUAGUACGGAUCAAAGAAAGAGAUGAAUGGAAGACUGCGUUUCGAACCAGGUAUGGACAUUUCGAAUAUAAUGUCAUGUCCUUUGGACUCACGAAUGCACCAGCUGCUUUUCAACAUCUCAUGAAUGAUGUAUUUCGUGAAUUCUUAGACAAUUUUGUCGUCUGCUAUCUAGACGAUAUCCUGAUCUAUUCUAAGAACGUCGAAGAACAUGAAAUACAUGUUCGUUAAGUAUUACAAAAACUUAGAGAUGCAGGAUUGUACGCCAAGAUGGAAAAGUGUGUAUUUCACACUACUCAAGUUGACUUUUUAGGAUACAUCAUUUCAAAUGAUGGUCUCAUAAUGGAUUCUAAAAAAGUCCAAACAAUCAUGGAUUGGAAGAUUCCAAGGACAGUAAGAGAUGUCCAAUGUUUCUUGGGAUUUGCCAAUUACUAUCGGAUCUUCAUCAAAGACUUCUCACGAGUUGCAGCUCCACUUACACGCUUGACUAGUAAAGAUAAAUUCCAAUGGAAUCAAGAAGCGGAAGCAGCAUUUGAAGCCUUGAAGACAUCGUUUGUCUCUGCACCAGUCUUAUAUCGUGUUGACUUUUCCAAGGCAUUUUUUAUGGAAACAGAUGCAUCCGAUUUUGCCUUGGGUGCAGUUUUAUCACAAAUGGGAACAGAUGACAAACUUCAUCCGAUAGCUUUUCAUUCAAGAAAAUUCUCAGCAGCCGAGAUCAAUUAUGAGAUCCACGAUAAAGAACUUCUUGCGAUCGUGGAUUCCUUUCAAGAAUGGCGUCAUUAUCUAGAAGGUGCUUCUAGUCCAGUCAUUGUGUAUAUAGAUCACAAGAACCUCGAGUAUUUCAUGUCAGCACGUAUGUUGAAUCGUCGUCAAGCUCGUUGGAGUAUGUCUUUGUCAAGAUUCGAGUUCAUUAUCACUUAUCGGCCAGGAAAACAACAAGGUUUGUUUGAUGCCCUAUCUAGACGUUCUUAUUUUGCACCAAAAGAAGGAGAUGCAGCUUUUGAGCAACAAAGAAUGGUCCUCUUGAAACUGGAGCAAUUUCAUCUCCGAGCAAUGAAAUCAACAUUGACUGUUGAUUCAACUUUUCUCAAGCAAAUCCAGUCCACUAUGUCCUCAGAUCCUCUUGUUUUUGAUAUCGAGAAUAAUUCUUUCAAGUCUCAUGAUCCUUCUAAGUUCGAGUUCAAGAAUAAUCUAUUAUAUUUUGAAGGACGCCUAUAUGUUCCAGAAGGAGAAGCACGUUUACGUGUUCUUCAAGCACGUCAUGACUUUCCAACAGCAGGGCACUUUGGAUAUAAUAAGACUUUAGAACUCAUAUCAAGAGAUUUUUGGAGGCCACAAAUGUGGAAGUCAGUCAAAGACUUUGUACAAUCAUGUGAUAUUUGUUCAAGAUCAAAAAUUCCUCGUCAUCGACCUUACGGACUUCUUCAGCCAUUACCUAUACCAGAACAACCAUGGUCUUCUGUUUCUAUGGAUUUCAUCACAGAUCUUCCAAGCUCAAGAUCUUAUGAUUCUAUAUUUAUGAUAGUAGAUCGCUUCACCAAGAUGGCACAUUUUGUGCCAUGUACAAAAUCUAUCACAGGUGAAGAAACAGCUAAGCUUUUCAUUGAUAAUAUCUAUCGCUAUCAUGGAUUACCUAAAGAUAUCAUAUCGGAUAGGGGAACUCAAUUUGUGUCAAGAUUUUGGAGGACCCUUUUCAAGAUUUUAAAAGUGGACAUAAAGCUAUCUUCGGCUUUCCAUCCUCAAACUGAUGGACAAACAGAGCGCAUAAACCAAGUCUUGGAGCAAUAUUUAAGGUGUACUAUCAACUACCAACAAGAUGAUUGGACAACCCUUCUGCCAUUGGCAGAGUUUGCUUAUAAUAAUACGGUACAUUCUUCCACGCAACAAACACCUUUCUUUGCCAAUUAUGGCUAUCAUCCACGACUUGAUACUUUUGAUUUUUCAAAAGUUGAUAAUCCUGCAGUAGAAGAUAUGGCAAAUCGGUUGUCAGAGUUACAUGCAAUAAUGAAGACGCAAUUGAAGGAAGCUCAAGAACGACAAAAGAUAAACGCAGAUCUAUAUCGUAAGGAGCAACUACAAAUCAAUGUGGGUGAUAAGAUAUGGCUACUUCGUCGCAAUAUCAAGACUACUCGACCUUGUGACAAGUUGGACUAUCGUAGGCUUGGCCCUUUUUCUGUUUCUGAACAGAUCAACCCAGUUGCAUAUCGGUUACAUCUACCGGAGUCAAUGAAGAUCCAUCCUGUAUUCCACGUGUCUCUUCUUGAACCAUAUAAGACAGUAGAUAUACAAGGAAGAAGACAAAUGCCACCGCCUCCUAUAGAAGUAGAUAAUAAUGAAGAAUUUGAGGUGGAAGAGAUAUUAGACUCAAGGCGGCGCCGAAAUAAGCUGGAAUAUCUUGUUCAUUGGCGCGGAUAUGAUAUUAGUGAACGCACAUGGGAGCCAUCCAGGAAUCUAGCAAAUGCAUCAGCUAAAGUCAAAGUUUUUCAUCAAUGACAUCCAUCGAAACCAAGAUGAAAAUCUCUCUUAUAAAAGAGACAAGAUUGAGGCAAGAUAAUAUUCAAUUUCCUAUCCUUGUUUGUAACUUCUUUGCAUUUGUGACGCUAAUUAGAUGGAGAGCCAACAACCAGCGGAUUCAACUCAAGAACCUUCGUUUGCUGACCUGCCGGAUGAGACAUUACGAUUGUCACAACCUUCAAGACGACGCAAUCGAGAUGGAUAUCUUUAAGAAUGACAUGUUCUUCCUCGAAUAGAUGGUGAGAUACAACGCGUUUGGUAUCACGAUUUGGGAAGGGACUCCCGAUGUUUGGUGAUUUUGCUAGAGGUAGGAACAACUCCAGAUGGUGUUCCAAAUAUUCUAUUCGAAGGAAGUUACGAAGGCCUCAACAAUGAUCAAAUAAUUGGGUGGUCUUCCCGCCUUGGUAUGGGACACUACCAAUGGUUGAGAGGCCCUAUCAAUCAUCUUCGAAGAGAACAGAGAUCAGAGUAUGUGGCGAAUACAAUUCGUCGCAUCAUAGAUUUCUUCAACAUAUGAUGACCGCUCCUCGUGGAACUCGUCUCUAGAAGGGGGGGUAAUGUCACGGCCAUAAUCAUGUAAGCUAAUAAUUACAUAUAGGAAUAGGUGGAAAUAAGUAAAAGUAGAUAAAAGUAAGUUAAUUCUAUAAUAUUUAAUAUAGAAGCUUCCUAGAAACUUCCUAGACGCUGCUUUGACUUCAUAGGUGUCUUUAAUUGACUUUUUGGAUUAGAAACGUGGUGAAGAAGUUGGCCAUGUGCCACACAUGUUGUUAGCUUGAAGAUUAAGCUAACUAUGUGGCCCACACGUAGAAAAACUUGCCUUGUAAGUCAAGGCAUGUGUCCUACAAAGUCAACACAUAUUGGAGGUCCUAUAGAACGUCGCCACGUAGCCCCUAGUUAGAUAGUAUAUAUAGAGACAAGAGUGAAGGCUUCUUCACUCUUGUCAACUCCUUUCUUGCUUCUAGUCCAGGUUCAAGAGUCUUUAGUUUCUUGUCUUGUGGCAAUAGCCAUUCCAGUUUCCUUUUAAUAUACCUACUUGUUUAUAUUUUGACUUAUUAUAUCGAGAUAGCCUUUUUGUAUAUUUUCCCUCAUCGAGUCUUUGUCCUUGACAACGGCAUCUUUCAAAUAGCUAGCUGCUUAUAUAAUUCCUUCAGUGGUAUUUAUCCUAGAUAAUUAGAAGUAUUGUCGCAUGUUGAAGAACCAUUGACAUAUACCUUCUUAUCUUAGAGUUCCAAAGUAUGUACUAGACUUACUCAAUUUCAAUCUAGCAAAUGUUGACUCUCUUAUCCUCAAGGCUUUUAUUUGCCCUUACAAAGUAGCUAUUUGGCCUAAGAGGUGUUGUAUUUGAGCCUCGAUUUGGGAUUGCUCUACCAUAUCUCUCACACUAUAAUUUUUGUGCUGGAUUCCACUAUUAUAGUGCCUUCUCACCUCUUGAUUGACUUUUCAAAAGUAGCUUAUAAUAGCCUCAAUAUAGUACCUAUUGUCUCCACAACAACUGAUCUUAAACUAAAUUAUGACUAUUGAUAUGCUACCAAAAGUAAAUAGUCUAACACUUGCUCUAACAACAAUGAAACAUGACUAGACUAACUUAAAAAUCCAAAAUCCUUCCAAUCCACAAAAAUAUAAGGCUUUCUUUCAUAAUAGAAUAAAACAAACUAGAUUAAAACAAAAUGGAAUUAAAAAAAAUAUGACAUGAAAGACAAAACUAAGCAAACAAAAAGAGAAUAAAAUAAAUGAAAAUAGAAAGAUAUAAAAUUAAACUUUAUUAAUAAAAAGGAUCCAAAGCCAUACUUGACCAAAUGCCUCAAAAGACCCUGGCUAGUCAUAUUUAUACCUUAUCCUACCACCAUGGACAUUUUAAAAUGUUCCUAGGUGAAAGAUCCCACCUAAACAAUGACCUUAAAUUCUUUCUCUAGAAGGUUUUAUAAUGGAUCCUACCUAGAUAACCACCCUAAUCCUUUUUUAGAAGGUUCUAUAGUAGACCCUACCUAGAUAACUAUCCUAAAUCUUUUCUAUAAUGUUCCACGUUGGAUCCCAUUUAAUCCAUUAAUCUAACUUCAAUUUUAUAAACUUCCAUGGUUUUAAUUAUCUAUAUAAUUAUCUUGUCUAUACCCUGUUAUACUAUCAAUAUAAAUAUAAUGACAUGAUUGAUACAACAAUGCAACUAUUGUUUAUAACUUACUUGAUGUAUCUUAGUGUUGUAUUGUGACACGAUUAUAUGGUAAAAAUAUGACUAAAAAUAAUUUUUUAAUUAAUAUUCUAUUAUAUUAAUUCAAAAAAAAUUCAAAAUAUUUUAAUAAGACUUUUAUAAAAGUCUCUUAGCCUAUUUUCUUGUCUUAAUAGCAAGUAAAUAAAGGUUAGUUAGUAUUUUUAUCUGCUAGGAUAUAGAAACUCUUUUACUACCUUAGAAAGGCCAUAAAUUGAUAAAAUCAGAAUAAAAGAGGUAAAUGGUUGAUAUGAUUGAUACUAAGAUGAAGUUGAAGGUAGGAUUGUUCUAAAAAAUCCUUAGAAUAGGUUAGAUUGAUACCCGGGGGUUGACCAUUUGUGAAAUAGGAUUGAAAUCAAACCUCUAGUCACUAAAAUGAUGGCCUAGGGUAAAUUAAGAAGGCAUUCAAAGUUUGGAGAUUAGAAUUUGAAAGCUAGCUUAAAGCUCUUUCUAGAAGCAUAAGGAUUAUUUUUGUAGGAUUUUUGAGGACUUAACAAUUGUUAUUCAAAGUUAGAAUUUGUAUUGGUGAUUUGGAUUUUAUAUAGUAUAACUAAGACUAGCAAUUUUAGCUAGUUCAUGCAAUUGGUGUAGCAUCUAUAAUUCAAAAUUUGGCACUGUUUGAGUUAUUGGAUGUACAAAGUGUAUACAAAAUUUUGUAAUAAUCUAAUAGUGUGGUUUAGAGAUAUCUAGUUUUUAAAACAAGAGGGUUUCAAAAGUUGGCAGUUUGGGGUUGGAUAGGAUUUUGUGAUAUCUAGAGAUCUACUAAUUGGAUCAAGGUGAAAUUUGGCAUGGUAUUGAUGGACUUAAAGAUCAAGCUGUAGACUAAUUUUGAAUCAAAGUUAAUUGUUAAAAAAAGAGAAAUCACUACUAGGAUUUUUGCUUUACUUUUUAAGUUGGUGGCCAAGUAACAUUAAUGCAAUUUUUGGAGGUUUUCUUACAAUUUGUAAGUUGGAUUGGACUAAAAAUUCUUAAGCAUAUAGAAGACUUACAUUGACAAUUGCAUACAAAAUUUUACAUCAAGUGGAUGGUCAAAUUAGAAGUUACAUCUUGUUAAAUCUCAUUGAUUAGGAUUGGAACUUACAAGAAAAAUCUAAAUUACUUAAAUAUGAAAGUAACAAGAUAAUUGGGACUUAUGUAUGGUUAAGGCUAUUGAAAAGAGUAUUUUUUUAGCACUUUUGAAUCGAAAUUUGGAUUAUAUUCUUUUCAUAUGGGUGAAACCUAUUAGAGUUUCCUGAAUACUUAUGAAAAAUAACCUCACCUUCGAUAUGUAGCUGCUUGGUGCAAUCCUAAACAACACAAGACGUAAUAUGACAUCAGAUUAAAAAAACAACAAUAAGCCCAAUAUUUUUUAUACUAUUGUUAUUUAUUCUAGGACACUCUACAUUACCUUACUGAUAUAUUUGUUCACAAAUCCUAUAAUUGCUUUUGGACUUAUCAAUCUUGGUGUUUUUCUUUUGUUAUAGAUAUUACUUCUUCAAGGCUUGUUUUGUUUACUUAUAUGCACUACUAAGGUAAAAAAUGAAGAAAUAAUCUUCUCCUAUUUUUGUCUCAUUUUUUUAAGAAGUAUGGUCUACAUGAAUUUUUUUAUAAUUUCUUCUUAUUUUCUUAAUGUAAUUGAUUGAAUAAGUAGAUUCUAUCAUUUUGACAAUGUAGUAUUAAUAAAAAAUGUUAUGCUUUAUUUGCUUAUUUUACCAUUGCAUUUAAUAUAAUGAUCCCUAAGAUCCAAAAUGUCUUCAAGAAAUUUUUUUAAAGAUUCUUUAUAGAUUUUUAUUAAUAUAUUAAAGAUUAUGAAUUUUUUUUAUUAAAAAUAUAUUGAUAAUAAUUCUUGAGGGCUUGUAAAUCUUUGCCAAAAUAUUUCACAUUUUCUUGCAUUCUUACAUUUGCAUAUAUGAGUCAAUUUUAAAGACUUGAUAUUGAGGACAAUUAAUACUUAUGCUUCUGCUUUACAUGAUUUUUAUUUUGAUUUUUUAUCAAUAUUAGUAAAAAAUUAUAAUAUAUCGCCUAUAUGCAUAUAGAGCUUAUAAAUAUGCAUCAAAUGCUUCAUAACAAAUUUAUUAUGCUAUAAUUCUUCUCAUCUAAUCAGUUAAUAUAAUAGUCAAUUAGAAAUGAUGCCAUUGCAAAAACAACCAAUGUAAUAGCAACAAGCAACAAGUUUGUUCAACAAUAACAAAUCUUGUAGUAGCUAUAAAAGAAUAAUUAAUAAAUAUUGUACAAAAUAUAAUAAUAAAUAGUAAUGAUAUGAAGCUAUGAUGGAACAAAACAACAUUCCUUUGAUAUUAAUAAUAGAUCAUUUCUAGUAUAAGUCAAAAUCAGCAACAAUAAGAUAAGGCUCUAGUGGCAACACAAUGGCAAGGCUCUAGUUGUAGUAGUAUGGAAACACAUCAUUUAGAAACAACUUAUCUAUAAAAUUUAUUUAUAAAAUUUAUUAAUAAUUUUUAUUUAAUUUUUUUAUCCAUGAUAUAUUUUUAUUUAUAUUACUAAAUAUCAUUUUUUAAAUAUAAAACAUCAUUCAAGUUGUAAACAUAAAUGUGUAAGAAUAAAGAAAAAAGCACUUUGUAAAAAUUGCUAUAAGCAAGACAAGCCGUAGUAUUAUAGACAUAUACAUUUAUCUAAAUAAGAAGUUGUAGGUAAAAGAUAAAUUUAUAUAGAUUUGACAUUAUCUUAUGGCAAAGCUUCUUAGAAGUUUUAUAGAUAUGUAUUUGACUUUAUAAAUAUUUAUAGUUAAUUGAUAAGUUGAAAAAUUGACCAAAUUUUUCAUCUAUCAAAUGUGUGGAUAGCUUGUAGUACAAGUUAACAAAAUGGCAUGUGUGUAGGAAAUUUAAUUAGAAAGUUAAGACACAUGUCUUACAAAUCAGACAUGUAUUAGAAACCUUAUAAGAUGCCACCAUGUAGCUCUUAGUUGAUAAUAUAUAUGGAAGAAAGAAUAAAUCCUUCUUUAUUCUUGUUAAUGCCUUUUUAGUCUUUAGUUUUGUUCAAAGACUUUUUAAUCUUCUUUUCUUUAAUUAUAGCCAUUUUAAUUUAAUAUUAUACCAUCUUUGAAUGAUUCUUCAAUAUUUUUGAGUAACAUAAGAAUAUAUUAAUAUUUUAGUUUUCUACGAUUUAUAUCCUUGAUAAUUUGAUAAGAGUGCUAAUUUGUUAUCUUUGAUUUGUAUUAAAAGUAAGUGAAUUAUUCUACUUUUAUUGUUUUAUUUUUAAGAUUAUAGAUUACUGAUUUUUAAACUUAUUUUCUAAUUUUCUAAUAUUGAUUAUUUUCGUGAAAAAUAGUGGACUAUUCUUCUUUAUAAAAAUAUUCAUUUGAUAUAAGAGGUUACAAAUUAAAGUGAUCUAAUUUGACUUUUAGAUUUGUCUAGGUUUAGGAAUUUAAAUUGUCUAUAGAAGAAAAGAUUAUAGAUGCUAUUUUUGAUAGAAGAGAAAAUAGAUUUGUAACUAUUACAAAUCUUCACAUAUUUAUUAAUACUUUAACGGUGAAAAUUUCACAUAUCUUUAACAUUAACCAUGGAGGGAUUAUUUUAACACCUAUAGAAGAGGUUAAUAAUAAAGUUCAAAGUCAAUGCUAAGAAGUUGUAUAAUUAAGAAAAAUAAGUAAAUAAAGCUUAUAACUAAAUUUAAGAAGUCUUGCUACUCCAAGUAUAAGAGAGGCAAGAAUAACAAUGCCCAAGAAGUUUGAUGGAACAAGAUUAAAACUUUGAAGAUUCUAACAACAAGUAAGCUCUAUUUAAGGUUGCAUCCUUUAAAAUACUCUAAUGGAUUUACUCAAGUUGAAUUCAUAGUUGCAUUUUUUUUUAAAGUGCUCUCACUUGAUUUGUAACUUUAAUAGAAAAAGAUUUAUAUCUCUUUUAUAAUCUAAAUAUAUUCUUAAAAGUAUUUAUGGCUAUUUUUAAAGAAAAUAAUUAAAAAAAGAUAGAAAAUACCAAAUUUAUAAUUUUACAAUAAAGAUUACGUUCAAUCACCAUAUAUACUAUAGAAUUCCAAAAUCUUGUUUGUGAUGUAGAUUAAAAUGAUAAAGUCAUUAUCAAUCAAUUUUGAUAUGGAUUAAGAGGUAACAUCAAAAAUUUAUUAUUGAUGAUGCUAAGAGCAAGCUCAUUAAAGAAAUUUAUUGCUUAAGCCAUUAUAUGUGAUAAUUAACUCUUUGAAAGAUGCCAAGAUCAAAGAUUUGGUUGGAGAAGUAUAAAUCAAGCCAUAGAAAUAACAUCUAAGUUUAUUAAAGCUUAUUUAUUAAGACCAAAAUCUAUGCAAAUUGAUACAAUAUGUUUCAAGUCUCUUAUCAAGCAAGAAAAAAUUCAAUGUGAUAAAGAAGGUUUAUGCUUAUAUUAUAGAAAACCUAAGCACCUUGCUUAAUAUUGUGCAAAAAAAUAAUAGAACCACAAAAUAAAGAAUAUGGUUUCCAAAUAAGAUGAUGUGUCAAAAAAUGAGUUUCUUCAACUACAAUAAAAACAGUGUGGUUGGAAUCUUACAUAACUUCUAGUAAAGAUCCUAUUUUCUCGUCAAAUCUCCCACCUUAUAUUAUAAUAGAAAUUUUUUUGAAACUAAAAAAUCACAAUGUUUUUACUUUUCUAGAUUCAAGAGCCUUAGCUUAUUUUAUUAACAAAACCUUUGUUAAAAAAUAAGAAAUAUUUUUAAUCAAGAAAAAUAAAUAUGUAUAUAUAAAAUUCAUAAAUAGUCAUUUAUUAUACUCUAGAGAUGUUAUCUAUAAAAUAACUCUUUUAGAUGUAACAACUAAUGAUUAUAAUUACUUAAUAAUAUUCAAUGUUAUUAGAUCUCUAUCCAAUGUAGUUAUUUUAGGAUUAUUAUGGUAAACCUUGACUUUUCUUAUAGUUUAAUCUAAGAUUCUACUAGUCAAGUAAAAAUCUAUAAGUCCAAUAUAACCAAAUUCUUAUUGAUAGGUGCAAGAGCUUUCAUGCAUACAUAAAAAAAUGGACGAAUUUUUGCUAUAUAUGCCACACCUAUUUUCAAUAAAAAAAAAAAAAAAAAAAAAAAAAAAAAAAAAAAAAACUUUAAGUAGUAUUCCAAGUUAAAAUUAAGAUUAUCAAGACAUUUUGAAGAAGAAAAAUAUAGAUAUUCUUUUAAAGCAUUGUUUCUAUGAUUUUUCAAUUGAUCUUGAAGACAAAGCUCACCAUUUGGAUAAAUCUAUAGCUUAUUGCAAAAUAAAUUGGCUGCCCUCAAAAAAUACAUUGACAAGAACUUGACUAAAAACUUCAUUUGCUAUUUUAAAUCUUGAAUAGGAUCUUCUAUCCUAUUUAUGAAGAAAAAAGAUGGAUUUUUGUGAAUGUAUAUAAAUUAUAGAAGAUUCAAAAAGAUCAUCAUGAAAAAUAGAUAUCUUCUAAUUUUGAUUUUAGAAGUUUUUGAUCAAUUUAAUUAAGAAAGAUCUAUAUAAAAAUAGAUGUAUGAGGAGUAUAUUACUUGGUAUGCAUCAAAGAAGGAGAUGAAUAGAAGACUAUAUUUUGAACCAAAUAUGGAUAUUUUGAAUAUAAUGUCAUGUCUUUUGAACUCACAAAUGUACUACCUAUAUUUCAACAUUUAAUAAAUAAUAUCUUCCAUGAGUUUAUUGAUGAUUUUAUAAUCUAUUAUCUAAAAAAUAUUUUAAUCUACUCUAAAACAUAAGAUAGCAUGAAUUUUAUGUUUAUUUCUUGCUAUAAAAAUUUAAAGAUACAAGAUUAUAUACUAACUCUAUUCAAGUUGAUUUCUUAGGAUAUAUUAUUUUUAAUCAUGGCCUUAUUAUAGAUCCUAAAAAGUUCCAAACUAUCAUAGAUUAGAAGAUUUCAAAAACAAUUAAAGUCAUGAAAUGGUUUUGUAAAAUUUACCAAUUAUUAUUGAAUCUUUAUUAAGAAUUUUUUUCAAAUUGAGGCUCUUCUUAUACAUCUCAUAUGUAAAGACAAACUUGAGUAGAAUAAAGAAGGUAAAGUAUCUUUUGAAGCCUUAAAGACAUCAUUUAUUUUUACACUAAUUUUUAUUGCAUUGACUUUUUCAAGGCAUUCUUUAUGGAAAUAGAUAUAUCAAAUUUUGCUAUAGAUGAGGUAUUGUCACAAAUGAGAAUAGAUGAUAAAUUCCACUUAGUAGCUUUGUAUUCUAUGAAAUUUUCAAUCACUCAAAUUAACUAUAAGAUCCAUGAUAAAGAACUUCUUAUAAUCUUAGAAUUAUUUCAAGAAUAGCAUCAUUAUCUAAAAGAUGCUUUUAGUCUAGUCAUCAUUUAUAUAAAUCAUAAGAAUCUUAAGUACUUCAUUUUGACACAUGUUUUGAAUUGUUGCCAAGUCUAUUGAAAUAUAUCUUUAUCAAGCUUUGAUUUCAAUAUUACUUAUUAACUUCGAUAAUAAUAAGGUUUGUUACAUGCCUUUUCUAGAUGUUCUUAUCUUAUAUAUAAAAAAAAAUGCUUUUUUUGAUUAAAAAAAAGAUAAUUUUCUUAAAGUUGGACUAUUUUCAACUUUGACUAAUAAAAUCAACAUUGACUAUUGAUUCAACCAUUUUCAAGCAAAUUCAAUUGAGUGUGUCAUCAUAUUUUCUUAUUUAUAAUAUUAAAAAUAAUUCUUCUAAAUCUCAUGAGACUUCUAGGUUUGAGUUCAAGAAUAGUAUAUUCUAUUUAAAAGAAUAAUUAUAUAUUCCAAAAAAUAAAGCACGAUUAUGUAUUUUUUAAUCUCAUCAUAUUUUUUAACAACUGGAUAUUUUUGAUACAAUAAGACUUUGGAGCUAAUAUUGAAAGAUUUUUGGUGGCUUCAAAUAUAAAAGGGAAUAAAAGACUUUUUAUGUGACAUUUGUUUUAAAUCAAAAAUUCUUUGUCAUCAAUUUUAUGGACUUAUUUAAUUAUUAUCUAUUCCAAAACAACUAUGGUCUAUUGUUUCUAUGGUUUUUAUCACAGAUCUUUCAAUUUCAUAUUUGUAUGAUUUUAUAUUUGUAAUAUUAGAUCAUUAUUUUAAGAUGGUCUUUUUUGUACCAUUUACAAAAUCUAUCAUUGGUGAAAAAAUAGCUAUCACUAUCAAGGAUUAUCUAAAGAUGUUAUAUUAGAUAGGUAGAUUCAAUUUAUAUUAAGAUUUUAGAGAAUCUUUUUUAAGAUUCUAAAGAUGGAUAUAAAGUUUUUUUUGGCUUUCAUUUUUAAAUUGAUAGAUAAACAAAGUGCAUAAACCAAAUUUUGAAGCAAUAUUUGAAAUAUACCAUCAACUACCAAUAAGAUGAUAUGACAACUUUUUUAUCAUUUGUAAAAUUUUCUUAUAAUAAUAUAAUACAUUCUUCUACAUAAUUUUUAUUUUUUUUUAUUUUUUUCUAUUAGUUAUAGUUAUCUUCUAUGACUUGAUUCUUUUGAAAUUUCAAAAGAUGAUAAUCUUACAAUGAAAGAUUUUUCAAAUCAUUUAUUUGAACUACAUACAACAAUGAAGGCACAACUAAAAGAAGCUCAAGAAUGACAAAAGACCAAUGCAGAUGCCUAUCACAAGGAACAACCUCAAUUCUACAUUUGCAAUAAGAUAUGAUUAUUUUAUCACAAUAUCAAGACUAGCCGCCUUUAUGAUAACUUAGAUUAUUAUAAGCUUGAACUAUUUCCUAUUUGUCAAUAAAUUAAUCCAGUUGCUUAUUGAUUACUUCUAUCAAAGUCUAUAAAGAUCCAUCUUAUAUUUUGCAUGUCUCUUCUUGAACCAUAUAAGACAAUGAAUAUCUCAAAAAGAUAACAAAUGCUAUUUUUUUUUUUAUAUAUAUAGAAAUAGAUAAUAAUCAAGAGUUUAAGGUAAAAGAAGUUUUAGAUGAAGGUAAUAUCAAAAUAGAUUAGAAUAUCUUAUUUAUUGCUGCAAAUAUGAUAUUAAUGAAUGUACUUGAAAGCUAGCUAAGAAUCUUGUAAAUGCAAUAAAAAAAGUUGAUGCUUUUCAUUGAUAUCAUCCAUCAAAACUAAGGUGAAUAAUAAUAAAUCUUUAUUAUUUAAGAAAUGAAAUUCAAAAAAGAUUAUAUUUUACCUUCUAUUUUUGUUUUUAGUUUUUAUAUAUUUAUAGCACUAAAAAAAUAGAAGACUAAUAAUCAAUAGAUUCAAUUCAAGAGCUAUCAUUUGCGGACUUAUCAAACAAGACAUUGUGAUUGUCACAGCCUUCAAGUUAAUAUAAUUGAGAUGAAGAUCCUAAAAAUGACAAGGUCUUCUUUGAAUAGAUAGCAAGAUAUAAUUUCUUUGAUAUCAUGACCUUGGAAGAGAUUCCUAAUGUUUGAUAAUUUUAUUGAAAGUAAGAACAAUAUUUGAUGGUCUUACAAAUGUUUUUUUUGAAAGAAGUUAUGAAAGCAUCAACAAUGAUUAAAUAACAAGGUGGUCUUCUUACCUUAGAAUAGAACAUUAUUGAUGGUUGAGAGGACUUAUCAACCACCUUCGAAGACAAUAAAGAUUAGAAUAUGUAUCAAAUAUAGUUUACUGCAUCUUAGACUUCUUUAAUAUAUGAUGAUUGCUUCUUAUAGAACUUAUUCUUUGAAGGAGAAAAAGAAGAGGGAAGAAGAAUAAUAUCAUAUAUAUAUAUAUAUAUAUAUAUAUAUAUAUAUAUACUUAAAUAAGAAGUACUAGAUAGAAAGUAAAUAUAGAUAGAUUUGAUAUUAUCUUAUGAUAAAGCUUUUUAGAAGCUUUAAAGACAUAUAUUUGAUUUUAUACAAAGUCAUAGUUGAUUGAUAGAUUAAAAACUUGGAUAAUAAAUUAGCUAUAUAUUACAUGUAUAGAUAGCUUGUAGUACAAGCUAACAAUGUAGUACACAUAUAGAAUACUUACUUUAGAAAUUAAGCCACAUGUUUUAUAAUUGGACACAUGUUGAAAAUCAUGUAGGAUGUUGUCACAUAUCUUAUACUUGGACAAUAUAUAUAGAGGCAAGAGUAAAGCCUUCUUCACUCUUGUUAAUAUCUUUUUAAUUUGUAGUCUUGUUUCAAAACUUUCUAUUCCUUUUAACUUUGGUAAUAGUCAUAUUAAUUUAAUGUUAUAUCACCUUUGAGUAAUUCUUUAAUAUUUUUGAAUAACACAAGAGUGUAUUGAUCUUUUAGUUCUUUGAGAUUCAUAUCCUUGAUACCUAACUUGUAAUACAAACAAUAUGAUAUCAUUGAGUAGAAAGAAAAUAAGAUAAUAUAAUAUGUAGAAUUGAUUUUUGGAUAUUUUAGAAUAAAAUAGAAAAAAAUAGUAAAAUUAUAAAAAAUAUUUUUAUUGCAACAUAUAUUAAAAAUACAUAAAUUUUAAAUUACAAAAUAUUAGAUUAAUUAAUGUUAAUAAAAUAAAAAAUUAUAUUAUAAAAAUAAAAUUUUUAAAAUAAUUAGAUAAUUAAGAUAUAGAAAUAAAAAUAUUAAAAAGUAAAGAAUUGAUUGUUAUUUGAUUUAUAUGAUUGAUCCUUGAUAUAUGUAAAAAGAUAAAUUAUAUUCUAUUUUAAAAGAUAUUCAAUUAUAUUAUUAAAGAUAGAAAAUUUGGUUAAUUUAAAGAAGUCAAGAUGUAUAUUUUUUAAUACAAAGAAGGUCUAUUGCAUGAUUAAGUUGUAUUGAGGUAGAUUGAGCUCUCAAUUGUAUUAUUUUGAUAUAUAAUUUUGACUUAGAAAAGAAUAUAGAAGUAAAAAUAGUUUUCUUAUAACAAACUAGUUGAAAAGUAUAAAUUAAUUAAUAUAUAAUAGGAUUAAGUUGACUUGUGAAUAUAUCAAGUAAAAGAAUAGAGAGAAUUUAAAAAUAAAAUUUUAUUAUGUCUUUUGGAGAUACAAUUUAAAAUAAUAAAAAAAUAAAGAUGAAGAAUUAUUUUGGGCUAUUUAAAAAAUAAGAUGAUAAGAAAGAAUGUAGAUAUUAAUAGAAAUUAAGCAUAAUUUUUAUAUUAAAAAAAUAAUAGUAUUAUAUAUAUAUAUAUAGAUAUAUAUAUAUAUAUAUAUAUAUAUAGAUUAUAGUUGUUGUGGUAUAUAUAUAUAAUUAUUUAAGAUUAUAAAUAGGAUUGAAAAAUUCAUUGAUAUUUGAUUCAAAAGUAACUUUAAUUAUGGAAUUAAGAUUUGAGAUGUAUCUAAAAUUUAUAAUAUAACUGAAACUUAAAUAAAACUAUAUCUAAGAAUAAAAUUUAAGAUUUGUAACUUUCACCUGAAUUCUUGAAGAUUAAAACUUCGAAUUUGAUUACAAUUUAUCUUUGGAUCAAUUAAAAGAAUAAAUUAAAUUAAUUUCUUAGAUUCAAAAUUUAGAUUCAAGAUUUACAAUGAUUAGGUUUCAAGAUUAAAGUUUUAAAAGAUUUUAAUUUUGAUUCAAAUAUUCCGCAACUAGUAAAGAUUGGCUACAAUCAAUAAUGUGGAGUGCUUCUGAAUGCUUGUAUUCGGUGCAUCGAAAGUAAACCAAGUCAUUACAUAACUGAGUAACUUGCUAUUUGGCUAAUCACAGACGACAUCAAACACAAGAACCUUUCUAAGAUAAAGUUCCCUUUAUUAGAUGCUUGUGAAUAGAUUACUAAAAAAUGUACGUCACCCAACUAUUAAAUUAUUCAAACAUUUACACACAAUGCAGGUAUACUUUAUGUCUUGGUAAUCCAAUCUACACACGUUUCACUGAAGAAAAUUCGUAUCCACACAUGAGAAUUGUGGCUGCAUUCGUGUUGAAAAAUCCUGAAAAGUAAUGAGCGUAUGAUAUUGAACUUGGUAUGGCGUGUAUCCGGGUGAACCCACCUCCCCCCCUUGUCGACUGGAUCCAACUGGCUGCAAGUGCAUUUUCGAUGAAGUCAUCUCUUCUCCACUCUCUAUACUUUGAUGAACACCGACGUACCGGUGUUGACAGUCACCUUCUUCAGUGUGAGGAUCUGCGUUCGCUUGAAACAAUUUCUUGCCUUCACAUUGUAGAAGAAUCCAUCGCAGUUGCAAUCAGCCGAGCAACUGGCUUUGCAGGCACCCAGUGAGAUCCUGAGCGGAGUCGCGUAGAACAGCAUCGCAGAUUCAUAGCCCGCCAAUUCCACGUAAUUCUUGUUGUUGCACUUUUUCAC
rnacentral:lncRNA from 1 species